CUGUCUUUUUUAUUUUUACUAGGAGUAGUUUUAAUUCUAUCCAUUUUAAUUUUUAUCUUAUAAUUUAAAUCUAUAUUAAAAUCUGACAUUUCUUUCUCCAACCAGAAAUUUGACACAUACAAUGAAUCCUGGUUAUCGAACUGCAAUAUGUAAUGAACUUUGUUUCUGUGACGUAUUUGUUUUAUUCCAAUUAUGACUAGUUCCGAUUUGUCCAGUAUUUCUUCCAAACGCCGACACUGUGUAACAUUAACAUAGCCAAUUAUUUCUUCGAUUUUUUGUAUAUCGUUUUGAUUAAAAGGUAAAUCAUCCAUGUCUCGUAGUACUUCCGAAAAAAAUUGAACAUUUUUCACCUUUGCGAACGAAUUACCAUUAAAUGUAGUAACUCCAUUAGUAUUAAAUGUUAUAAUAGUUUCUUCUGUCGGGAGGACUAUUAAUACCAUACCGUUAAACGGAAUUAAAACGUAUCAUUCUUCUUUAAGUUUUUCUUUGGUGAUGUAAAUAUUUAUAAAAACAUUUUUAAAAGAGCCUUUUAAGAAGUAUACACUUUUGGUCUCAUGUUUUUCGACAUCGUUUUAUUCAGUUUCGAUUGCUAAAAUGUGGAGAAAAUUGACAGACAGUUUACAGAAUAGCUGUUGCAUCGUGUUUAAAAAUUUCUUGCAGUGCGUAUAUUGGGAUAAUUCGAAUACGAAAAAAUUAACUGGAAUACAAAUUAAAUUAUCCGAUAAUCGAGAACAGA